GACGAACGCUGGCGGCGUGCCUAAUACAUGCAAGUCGAACGCUUCUUUCCUCCCGAGUGCUUGCACUCAAUUGGAAAGAGGAGUGGCGGACGGGUGAGUAACACGUGGGUAACCUACCCAUCAGAGGGGGAUAACACUUGGAAACAGGUGCUAACACCGCAUAACAGUUUAUGCCGCAUGGCAUAAGAGUGAAAGGCGCUUUCGGGUGUCGCUGAUGGAUGGACCCGCGGUGCAUUAGCUAGUUGGUGAGGUAACGGCUCACCAAGGCCACGAUGCAUAGCCGACCUGAGAGGGUGAUCGGCCACACUGGGACUGAGACACGGCCCAGACUCCUACGGGAGGCAGCAGUAGGGAAUCUUCGGCAAUGGACGAAAGUCUGACCGAGCAACGCCGCGUGAGUGAAGAAGGUUUUCGGAUCGUAAAACUCUGUUGUUAGAGAAGAACAAGGACGUUAGUAACUGAACGUCCCCUGACGGUAUCUAACCAGAAAGCCACGGCUAACUACGUG
rnacentral:rRNA from 1 species